rnacentral:rRNA from 1 species
ACUACGGGAGGCAGCAGUGAGGAAUAUUGGUCAAUGGGCGUAAGCCUGAUCCAGCCAAGUCGCGUGAGGGAUGAAGGUUCUCUGGAUCGUAAACCUCUUUUAUAAGGAAAUAAAGUGUAGGACGUGUCCUAUUUUGUAUGUACAUUAUGAAUAAAUAUCGUCUAACUACGGUCCAGCAGCCGCGGUAAUACGGAGGAUCCGGGCGUUAUCCGGAUGUAUUGUGUUGAAAGUGUGCGUAGGCGGCCUUUUAAGUCAGCGGUGAAAGUCUGUGGCUCAACCAUAGAAUUGCCGUUGAAACUGGGGGGCUUGAGUAUGUUUGAGGCAGGCGGAAUGCGUGGUGUAGCGGUGAAAUGCUUAGAUAUCACGCAGAACCCCGAUGGCGAAGGCAGCCUGCCAAGCCAUGACUGACGCUGAUGCACGAAAGCGUGGGGAUCAAACAGGAUUAGAUACCCUUGUAGUC